rnacentral:rRNA from 1 species
UGCUUUUAGUAAAUAGCCGCAGUAUUUUGACUGUGCUAAGGUAGCAUAAUCAUUAGUCUUUUAAUUGAAGGCUGGUAUGAAUGGUGAGACGAGAAAAUUGCUGUCUCUUUUAAAUAAAAUUGAAUUUCAUUUCUGAGUGAAAAAGCUAAGAUAUUUUUGAAGGACGAUCAGACCCUUUGGAGCUUUAUUUAUUUUUUAUAAUAAAUUAAUUUUUAAUGAUUGUUUUAGAGAAUGAAUUUUGUUGGGGCGACAAAGAGUACAAAAUAACACUCUUUUUAUUGAACAAAAAUAAUUGAAUAGUUGAUCCCUAGAGAAGGAUUAAAAGACUAAGUUACCCUAGGGAUAACAGCGUAAUCUUUUUGGAGAGUUCUUAUCGAUAAAAAGGUUUGCGACCUCGAUGUUGGAUUAAGAAAUUAGCAGGGUGUAGAAGUUUUGCUGGAAAGUCUGUUCGACUUUUAAUAUCUUACAU